rnacentral:lncRNA from 1 species
UUUGCAGGGAUGUGGUAUGUCACAGCCAUGGCUUCCAACUGCUCCGUCUUCCUGAAGAUGAAGGACGGGAUGAAGUCGUCCAUCACCACCAUCAGCUUCACACCAGAGGGGGAUCUGGCCAUGAAGUUGGUCUGGCCCCUGCUGGACAAAUGCCAAAAGUUUGAGCUGCUCUUCCAGCAGAGCCGGCAGGCAGGGCACUACGUGUGGUCAGGUGGGUCGGAGCCAUGGGUACCCUGAAACAGAGGGUGGGCAUCCCCAGCCCCCCGUGCCUGGGGAGCAGCGGGAGGUGGGCUUGGCUGCUCUGCCUUCUCUGCUCAGCAAGGGGUCAUGCUGAGGGUGGGCACCCAGCUCCAUCACAUUGCUCAGGGGGUCCCUCCUCAUACUCCCCUCAGGCAAUUUUGGGGCUCAAGCAGUGGGGCCCAGGAGGGCUCAGACUGUACCACAUUGCCCAACUGGGCACCUCUGGUAUCCUUUAGCAGCACAAGAGAAGAGGGACCUGCUCGUGGUGGAGACAGACUACGGCCACUAUGCCAUCCUGCACGAGGCCCAUCACAGCGAGACAGAGCCCAGCACCGCACUGCAGCUCCUCACAAGGGAGCAGGAUGUGAGUCCCCAGCUUCUGCAGAAGUUCAUGGAGCUCGUCCCCACCAUGGGCCUGACCAAGGACAUGCUGGCCAUCCUGCCCGAGUCGGACCAGUGCACCAAGGCCAUCAGGUGAGUGUGUCCAGGGGAAGCCGUGACUCACUCCCAGCACGGCCAGGGCUGAGCAGGCACUCGCGGCCCACUGGGGGCCCCCCACCUGCCUCGGCUUUGCCUCUGCGUCACCUCAGCUUUGCCCUGCUCUAACCACUCGUCUGUCUAUCCUGUCUCUGCAGCUAAAGGGCCGUUGUGUCCUCCAGACUUGGUGGACACCGGGCUCUGAUCCCCACUCUGUGGUACCCCCUUCCCAUCCUUCCCAGAUGAACUCUGCUGGACCCCCUGCCCCACACCAGGAUCACCCCUCGAUCUCCUAAAUAAAUAGAUGCAGAAGCUGUCCCA